rnacentral:rRNA from 1 species
AUGAACGCUGGCGGCGUGCCUCAUACCUGCAAGUCGCGCGAACGGACGAGAAGCUUGCUUUUCUGAUGUUAGCGGCGGACGGGUGAGUAACACGUGGAUAACCUACCUAUAAGACUGGGAUAACUUCGGGAAACCGGAGCUAAUACCGGAUAAUAUUUUGAACCGCAUGGUUCAAAAGUGAAAGACGGUCUUGCUGUCACUUAUAGAUGGAUCCGCGCUGCAUUAGCUAGUUGGUAAGGUAACGGCUUACCAAGGCAACGAUGCAUAGCCGACCUGAGAGGGUGAUCGGCCACACUGGAACUGAGACACGGUCCAGACUCCUACGGGAGGCAGCAGUAGGGAAUCUUCCGCAAUGGGCGAAAGCCUGACGGAGCAACGCCGCGUGAGUGAUGAAGGUCUUCGGAUCGUAAAACUCUGUUAUUAGGGAAGAACAUAUGUGUAAGUAACUGUGCACAUUUUGACGGUACCUAAUCAGAAAGCCACGGCUAACUACGUG